GCCGACGUAGCUCAAUCGGUAGAGCAACUGAAUCGUAAUCAGUAGGUUGCAGGUUCAAUUCCUGUAGUCGGCACCA
rnacentral:tRNA from 1 species